UACGGGGGGGGCAAGCGUUGUUCGGAAUUACUGGGCGUAAAGGGCUCGUAGGUGGCCAACUAAGUCAGACGUGAAAUCCCUCAGCUUAACUGGGGAACUGCGUCCGAUACUGGUGGGCUUGAAUCCGGGAGAGGGAUGCGGAAUUCCAGGUGUAGCGGUGAAAUGCGUAGAUAUCUGGAGGAACACCGGUGGCGAAGGCGGCAUCCUGGACCGGCAUUGACGCUGAGGCACGAAAGCGUGGGGAGCAAACAGG
rnacentral:rRNA from 1 species